AUUGAACGCUGGCGGCAUGCCUUACACAUGCAAGUCGAACGGCAGCACGGGAGCAAUCCUGGUGGCGAGUGGCGAACGGGUGAGUAAUAUAUCGGAACGUGCCCAGUCGUGGGGGAUAACGUAGCGAAAGCUACGCUAAUACCGCAUACGAUCUAUGGAUGAAAGCGGGGGAUCGCAAGACCUCGCGCGAUUGGAGCGGCCGAUAUCAGAUUAGGUAGUUGGUGAGGUAAAGGCUCGCCAAGCCGACGAUCUGUAGCUGGUCUGAGAGGACGACCAGCCACACUGGGACUGAGACACGGCCCAGACUCCUACGGGAGGCAGCAGUGGGGGAAUUUUUGGGACAAUGGGCGCAAGCCUGAUCCAGCAAUGCCGCGUGCAGGAUGAAG
rnacentral:rRNA from 1 species